rnacentral:rRNA from 1 species
AUUGAACGCUGGCGGCAUGCUUUACACAUGCAAGUCGAACGGAAGCGCGGGCUUCGGCCUGGCGGCGAGUGGCGCAAGGGUGAGUAAUGCAUCGGAACGUGCCCAGUAGUGGGGGAUAGCACGGCGAAAGAAGGAUUAAUACCGCAUACGACCUGAGGGUGCAAGCGGGGGAGCGAAAGGCCUCGCGCUAUUGGAGCGGUCGAUGUCGGAUUAGCUAGUUGGUGGGGUAAAGGCUUACCAAGGCGACGAUCCGUAGCUGGUCUGAGAGGACGACCAGCCACACGAGAACGUAGACACGGCCCAGACUCCUGCGGGAGGCAGCAGUGGGGAAUGUUGGACAAUGGGGGCAACCCUGAUCCAGCCAUGCCGCGUGCGGUAAGAAGGCCCUCGGGUUGUAAACCGCUUUUGUUCGGGAAGAAAUCCUCUGGGCUAAUACCCCGGGGGGAUGACGGUACCGGAAGAAUAAGCACCGGCUAACUACGUG